ensembl:Mt_tRNA
UAGAUUGAAGCCAGUUGAGGUAGGGUAAUUAGCUGUUAACUAAUAGUUCAUGGGUUUAAACCCCAUCAAUCUAG